CCUACGGGUGGCAGCAGUGGGGAAUAUUGCACAAUGGACGGAAGUCUGAUGCAGCAACGCCGCGUGCGGGAUGACGGCCUUCGGGUUGUAAACCGCUUUCAAUUGUGACGAAGCUUUUUGUGACGGUAGCAGUAGAAGAAGCACCGGCUAACUACGUGCCAGCAGCCGCGGUGAUACGUAGGGUGCGAGCGUUGUCCGGAUUUAUUGGGCGUAAAGAGCUUGUAGGUGGUUUGUCGCGUCGGGAGUGAAAACUCAGGGCUUAACUCUGAGCUUGCUUUCGAUACGGGCUGACUUGAGGGAGGUAGGGGAGAAUGGAAUUCCUGGUGGAGCGGUGGAAUGCGCAGAUAUCAGGAGGAACACCGGUGGCGAAGGCGGUUCUCUGGACCUUUCCUGACGCUGAGA
rnacentral:rRNA from 1 species